UAUGAAAAGCCUGCUUGCAGGCGUUGUAUUUGGAAGUCUCUGGGGUGUCAGUGCGUGUAAGUUGUAUGGAAAUACACGCCGUGGAGGGUGAGAGCCCCGUCCAGCGCGCACAGGACACUUCGUACGAGGCUUUCCUAACGAGUCGGGUAGCUUGGGAAUGCUGCUCUAAUUGGUGGUAAAUCUCAUCAAAGGCUAAAUAUUGACCGGAGACCGAUAGCGAACAAGUACCGUGAGGGAAAGAUGACAAGCACUUUGAAAAGAGGGUGAAAAGAGCCUGAAACCGUCAUGGGGGAAGCGGAUUGCGUUGUAUUGAAGGGUUGCUGCGUGUUCAGCCGUUAAAGGUGCAUUGGCGCAGUGGCUUAUCUGUCGUGGGCUUUGGGUGGCUGAUAUUGAGCUGCCUGGGGCUGAGGGCUCCUCGUUUACGGGUGAGGACGAUAGAGUGAUGACGCGAUACGACCCGUCUUGAAACACGGACCAAGGAGUCUAGCGCGGUUGCGAGUCGAAGGGUGCAAGCCUGAAGGCGUAGUGAAAGCGAGUGUAAAACGAGCAGUUUGGGGCGGCAUAGGAUCGUUGAUUCUAGGUCUGACCUUGAGCAAUUGCGCUGGGACCCGAAAGAUGGUGAACUAUGCCGGAGUAGGGCAAAGCCAGAGGAAACUCUGGUGGAGGCUCGUAGCGGUGCUGACGUGCAAAUCGCUCGUCAAACUUGGGUAUAGGGGCGAAAGACUAAUCGAACCAUCUAGUAGCUGGUUCCCUCCGAAGUUUCUCUCAGGAUAGCGGGCCGACAUGUGUUGUUUUGUGCGGUAAAGCGAAUGAUUAGCGCACUCGGGGGCAUUUUGUCUUCGGGCGAUUCUCAAACUUUCAAUGCGCAAGGGUGCCGCUGCUUGAUUGAGCGGCACCGGCAAAAACGUCGGCCCUGUGGGCCACUUUUGGUAAGCAGAACUGGCGAUACGGGAUGAACCGUAAGUGUGGUUAAGGCGCCUAAUUGCCCGCUUAUAGANNNNNNNNNNNNNNNNNNNNNNNNNNNNNNNNNNNNNNNNNNNNNNNNNNNNNNNNNNNNNNNNNNNNNNNNNNNNNNNNNNNNNNNNNNNNNGAAUUAGCCCUGAAAAUGGAUGGCGCUGAAGCGGGUGGCCGACACCACACCGUUUGGUAAAGAAUUAUGACCAAAUGAGUAGGAGGGCGUGGCGGUUGUAUCGAAGGGUAUGUGCAGACAUGCCUGGAACGGCCGCUAGUGCAGAUCUUGGUGGUAGUAGCAAGUAUUCAAGCGAGAUCCUUGAAGGGCGAAGCGGGGAAGGGUUCCACGCGAACAUUGAUUGGGCGUGGGUGAGUCGUUCCUAAGCCGAGUGGCGAUUGCUAAGUAGCGGCGAAAGGGAAGCUGGUUGACAUUCCAGCACACGGAUGUGGAGGCGGUGACGCAUAUUGAGACGAACACGCUGGCGGUGGCGCUGGGCAGAGUUGUCUUUUCUGUUUGACUUUGCGCGCGCGGUGUGGAAUCCGCUUGUCGGGAGAAACACGCGUGUCGAGGCAGAGCGCCGGGGCUUUUCCGGCGUCCAGCUCGCCACCGACGGCCCUUGAAACUUUGUCUGCUUAAUAAAUCCACGCCGUGGCGUACCGAUCACCGCAUCAGGUCCCCAAGGUGAACAGCCUCUGCUCUAUAUGAACAAUGCAGGUAAGGGAAGUCGGCAAAUUAGACCCGUAACUUUGGGAUAAGGGUUGGCUCUAGUGCUGCGUGGGAGUGGUUGCCCAUGGUCGGGGGGGUUGGCGAGGCUGGCUUGGCGCGUGGCUUUCGGGUCGUGUGCCGGCUGCUGAGUUGGUUUUUCUGCUUUGGGCGACGCCCACGGCAUGCAGCAGACUAGAACUGCAACGGGCAAAGGGAAUCCGACUGUUUAAUUAAAACAAAGCAUUGCGAGGGCCGUGGCCGGUGAUGACGCAAUGUGAUUUCUGCUCAGUGCUCUGAAUGUCAAAGUGAAGAGAUUCAAUCAAGCGCGGGUAAACAGCGGGAGUAACUAUGACUCUCUUAAGGUAGCCAAAUGCCUCGUCAUCUAAUUAGUGACGCGCAUGAAUGGAUUAACGAGAUUCCUACUGUCCCUAUCUGCUUCUAGCGAAACCACAGCCGAGGGAACGGGCUCGGCGAAAUCGGCGGGGAAAGAAGACCCUGUUGAGCUUGACUCUAUUCUAAUUUUGUGAAGCAAGUUGGGAGGUGUAGCAUAGGUGGGAGCGCUUGCGCGUCCGUGAAAUACCACUACUCCCAGUCUUGCUUUACUUACUGGGUUGGUGUGGAUGGGGCUUACGGCCUUGUUUUGGAAUCAACGCACUGUAGUGCAGACCACAGCCCAGCACACAUUUAGGAGGGGAGUUUGGCUGGGGCGGCACAUCUUCUACAAGACAACGAAGGUGUCCAAAGAUAAGCUCAGCGAGAACAGAAAUCUCGCGUAGCGGAAAAGGCUAAAAGCUUGUUUGAUUUUGAUUUUCAGUGCGAGUCGAAAACGCGAAAGCGUGGCCUAUCGAUCCUUUCAUGAUUCGAGAUUUGAAGCGAGAGGUGUCAGAAAAG
rnacentral:rRNA from 1 species